CGUUGGCAGCCGGCUCUCCCCUCAGACGGUGCCGGUCCCACAGCCGCUGCGCGCCGGAGCUCCGGGCAGCGCCGAGACGGAGCGGCGGCACGGCGGGAGCGGUGCGAGCACAGCGGUUCCGGAGCCGGGAGGGACGGACGGAGAGCGGCGCCGGGACAGGGAUUAGCAGCAUUCCACACCAUCUCAUCAUGUCAUGCACUGGGGGUUUGGCUGCUGAUGCUCAAGUUGCGGCUGCCUGUCUGGAGGAGAAGAAGAACCACGUUUCCCCAGGGCGCUUUGCGCUCAGCAAGGACACACAGCUCCUGGCCAAGUCCCCUGAUGUUCUCGUCUUCGCCUGCGCUUCUCCGCCUGCUUUUCUUCCUGGGCUCAGCUGGACCGCAGUUCUCACCUCAGUGCUGUGCUGAGGCCUAUCCACCUUUCAGACACACUCUCUCUCUCUCUCGCUCUCAUUCUAUUUUGCUGAUACCAUAUUUAGGAAAUGAGUUUGUUGCACCUCA